UACGGGGGGGGCAAGCGUUGUUCGGAUUUACUGGGCGUAAAGGGCGCGUAGGCGGCUUAACAAGUCACUUGUGAAAUCUCCGGGCUUAACUCGGAACGGCCAAGUGAAACUGUUAUGCUAGAGUGCAGAAGGGGCAAUCGGAAUUCUUGGUGUAGCGGUGAAAUGCGUAGAUAUCAAGAGGAACACCUGAGGUGAAGACGGGUUGCUGGGCUGACACUGACGCUGAUGCGCGAAAGCCAGGGGAGCAAACGGG
rnacentral:rRNA from 1 species